rnacentral:rRNA from 1 species
GACGAACGCUGGCGGCGUGCUUAACACAUGCAAGUCGAACGGAAAGGCCCUGCUUUUGUGGGGUGCUCGAGUGGCGAACGGGUGAGUAACACGUGAGUAACCUGCCCUUGACUUUGGGAUAACUUCAGGAAACUGGGGCUAAUACCGGAUUGGAGCUCCUGCUGCAUGGUGGGGGUUGGAAAGUUUCGGCGGUUGGGGAUGGACUCGCGGCUUAUCAGCUUGUUGGUGGGGUAGUGACUUACCAAGGCUUUGACGGGUAGCCGGCCUGAGAGGGUGACCGGCCACAUUGGGACUGAGAUACGGCCCAGACUCCUACGGGAGGCAGCAGUGGGGAAUAUUGCACAAUGGGCGGAAGCCUGAUGCAGCAACGCCGCGUGCGGGAUGACGGCCUUCGGGUUGUAAACCGCUUUCGCCUGUGACGAAGCGUGAGUGACGGUAAUGGGUAAAGAAGCACCGGCUAACUACGUG